GAGAAGAGGAAAACAGGACUUCACAGUAAUGACUGUGUUCCAACAGAGCUGGCCAGAAUUUUGCUUGUUCCCUGUGUUUGGCAAGGAGCUAAUCUGGGGUCUCUCAAGCUGCCUGCCAUUCAGGGAACAGACCUAGGAUACUAAGAAGUUACUGCUGAAUAGACCACUGCCUGCAGGGGAUGUGUUACCUGAGAUGCAAUAAGAGCUAGAAAGCUGGAGAAAGAGGCCACAUGAUCUGGAAAAUGUACCUGGCUGGAUCCUGAUGGAAAAAUCCAGAAGUCACAGUGAGUUCUUUCUCCAACCCAGAUUGGUAUAAGGAGGCAAAACACAGAGGUCUACGGAUGCUAAGGACUGGGUCAUGGCAGGAAUACACUCCACUCCAGCUUCCAGGGAGAGGCUGUGCACCAGGUUCUGGGUCACAGAACCAGGGCAGACAGAGGAAUAACUGGAGCAGGAAUCCCAGGCUCAAGAGAAGGCUGACAAUUCUGCCAUUGUAAACCAAUAGUGCUUCCCAACUGGCUGGUAAUGGUUGAAUCCAGCAGCAAUCUACUCUUGCACAGAUCCAAACUUGGGUCAGAAGAUGCAGAGCUCAGGAUCCCUGUCAAUACAGAUCGAAUGGGUCCAGCUGGGGGCCGGAGCCUGGAAGCUGGGGAGGGUCCUGAGCUUUUGGAGGGCCAUGGAGCACCUUUGAGGAGUUCACUCACAUUCUUGGAUGGGGCCCUGGGCCUUGGUAUACUCGGACUUGGUGCUCGUCUGGUCCUGGCCCUGGCUGGUCCAGCCAUGAUGCUUUUGCUGCUGUUUCUGAUGUUGAGUUUCCUGACCUUUGAUCUUUUGCAUGGACCCCAGGACUUGCCUCUGCCUCAAAGACCAACUUUUAGACCCCUUGGCCCAGGAGGGGGUGGUGAAGGCCCCCGCUUGCAAGAACCGCUGCUCCCUCCUGUCCUGAGCCAAAUCUUGGAUGGAUUCCUGCUCUUCACAGGCCUAGGCCUCAUCUUUGGGGCGCUGAUGCCCUUCAGUAUCUUUAGCCUUAUAGUCAGCCUACAGGCGCUGGCCUGAAACAAAGCCCUCUGUUCUGUGGAAACCAGAAGGCUUUAAGAGCCUCCUCACCGAAAUACACGAGGAUUGACUAAAUUCUGCCUCUGAAUUUCCUUUCCUGUUCCCCUCCGGGCCGUUCUGGGGUGAAAGGCCCCAAAUUAGUUCC
rnacentral:lncRNA from 1 species